GAUGAACGCUGGCGGCGUGCCUAAUACAUGCAAGUCGAGCGAACAGACGAGGCUCUCGCCUCUCUGCCGUUACCGGCGGACGGGUGAUUAACACGUGGAUAACCUACCUUUAAGACUGGGAUACCUUCGGGAACCCGGAUCCAACACCGGUUAUUAUAUUGAACCGUCUGGAUCAUUAGCCCAAGACGGUUUUGAUGUCUCUAAUAGAUGGAUCCGCGCCGCUUUAGCUAGUUGGUAAGGUAACGGCUUACCAAGGCAACGAUGCGUUGCUGACCUGAGAGGAUGAACAGCCACACUGGAACUGAGACACGGUCCAGACUCCUACGGGAGGCAGCAGUAGGGAAUCUUCGGCAAUGGGCGAAAGCCUGACGAAGCAAAGCCGCGUGAGUGAUGAAGGUCUUCGGAUCGUAAAACUCUGUAAUUAGGGAAGAAGGAAUGUGUACUCAGCUAUACGCGUCUUGACGGUACCAAAACAGAAAGCCACGGCUAACUUCGUG
rnacentral:rRNA from 1 species